rnacentral:rRNA from 1 species
GAUGAACGCUGGCGGCGUGCCUAAUACAUGCAAGUCGAGCGAACAGACGAGGAGCUUGCUCCUCUGACGUUAGCGGCGGACGGGUGAGUAACACGUGGAUAACCUACCUAUAAGACUGGGAUAACUUCGGGAAACCGGAGCUAAUACCGGAUAAUAUAUUGAACCGCAUGGUUCAAUAGUGAAAGACGGUUUUGCUGUCACUUAUAGAUGGAUCCGCGCCGCAUUAGCUAGUUGGUAAGGUAACGGCUUACCAAGGCAACGAUGCGUAGCCGACCUGAGAGGGGGAUCGGCAAAACGGGAAGGGAGACACGGACCAGACUCCAACGGGAGGCAGCAGUAGGGAAUGUUCCGCAAUGGGCGAAAGCCUGACGGAGCAACGCCGCGGGAGGGAUGAAGGUCUUCGGAUCGUAAAACUCUGUUAUUAGGGAAGAACAAAUGUGAAAGUAACAAUGCAGGUCUUGACGGUACCUAAUAAGAAAGCCACGGCUAACUACGUG